rnacentral:rRNA from 1 species
CAGCCGCCACGGGAAUACGUAGGGUGCGAGCGUUAAUCGGAAUUACUGGGCGUAAAGCGUGCGCAGGCGGUUCGUUAAGACAGAUGUGAAAUCCCCGGGCUUAACCUGGGAACUGCAUUUGUGACUGGCGAGCUAGAGUAUGGCAGAGGGGGGUAGAAUUCCACGUGUAGCAGUGAAAUGCGUAGAGAUGUGGAGGAAUACCGAUGGCGAAGGCAGCCCCCUGGGCCAAUACUGACGCUCAUGCACUAAAGCGUGGGGAGCAAACAGGAUUAGAUACCCCCGUAGUCCCUGUCUCUUAUAC